AGUCACUGACAUUAGAUACCCCCGGUAGUCCAGGGUGUAGACGCUGCAGACUUGGUGUUGGAAAGUCCUUUGGGGGCAUUCAGUGCCGGAGAGAAGUUGUUAAGUCUGCUACUUGGGGAGUACGUCCGCAAGGAUGAAACUUAAAGGAAUUGGCGGGGAGCACCGCAACGGGAGGAGCGUGCGGUUUAAUUGGAUUCAACACCGUAAACUCACCAGGGAAGACUGUUACAUGAAAGCCGAGAUGAAGACUCUGCUAGAUUUUCAG
rnacentral:rRNA from 1 species